GAUUGAACGCGGCGGGCACGCCUAACACAUGCAAGUCGAGCGGCAACGGGAAUGGUAGCAAUACCAUUUGCCGGCGAGCGGCGGACGGGUGAGGAACACGUAGGAACUUGCCCUUUAGAGGGGGAUAACCAAGGGAAACUUUGGCUAAUACCGCAUAGACUCGGAAGAGGAAAGCUGCCUUGUAGAGAUAUAAGGUGGCGCUAGAGGAGAGGCCUGCGUCUGAUUAGCUAGUUGGGGAGGUAAAAGCUUCCCAAGGCGAUGAUCGGUAACUGGUCUGAGAGGACGGCCAGUCACACUGGGACUGAGACACGGCCCAGACUCCUACGGGAGGCAGCAGUGGGGAAUCUUGGACAAUGGGGGCAACCCUGAUCCAGCGAUGCCGCGUGGGUGAAGAAGGCCUUCGGGUUGUAAAGCCCUUUAGGCCGGGAAGAAGGAUGGGAAGUGAAUAACUUUUCAUAUUGACGGUACCGGCAGAAUAAGCACCGGCAAACUCUGUGCCAGCAGCCGCGGUAAUACAGAGGGUGCGAGCGUUAAUCGGAAUUACUGGGCGUAAAGGGCGCGUAGGCGGUCAUGUGAGUGUUAUGUGAAAGCCCCGGGCUUAACCUGGGAAGCGCAUGGCAAACUAUAUGACUGGAGUAUGGGAGAGGGUGGCGGAAUUUCCGGUGUAGCGGUGAAAUGCGUAGAGAUCGGAAGGAACGUCGAUGGCGAAGGCAGCCACCUGGCCUAAUACUGACGCUGAGGCGCGAAAGCGUGGGGAGCGAACAGGAUUAGAUACCCUGGUAGUCCACGCUGUAAACGAUGAAGACUAGAUGCUGGGAGGGAGACCUUUUAGUAUCGAAGCUAACGCGAUAAGUCUUCCGCCUGGGAAGUACAGCCGCAAGGUUGAAACUCAAA
rnacentral:rRNA from 1 species